UACGUAGGGUGCGAGCGUUGUCCGGAAUUAUUGGGCGUAAAGAGCUUGUAGGCGGUUUGUCGCGUCUGCUGUGAAAAUCCGGGGCUCAACCCCGGACUUGCAGUGGGUACGGGCAGGCUAGAGUGUGGUAGGGGAGACUGGAAUUCCUGGUGUAGCGGUGAAAUGCGCAGAUAUCAGGAGGAACACCGAUGGCGAAGGCAGGUCUCUGGGCCACUACUGACGCUGAGGCGCGAAAGCCAGGGGAGCAAACGGG
rnacentral:rRNA from 1 species